AACGUAGGAGACAAACGUUAUCCGGAGUUACUGGGCGUAAAGGGCGUGUAGGUGGUUUAGUAAGUCUGGCGUGAAAUUUUUCGGCUUAACUGGGAAAGGUCGUCGGAUACUGCUGAGCUAGAGGACGGUAGAGGCGUGUGGAAUUCCGGGUGUAGUGGUGAAAUGCGUAGAGAUCCGGAGGAACACCAGUGGCGAAGGCGACACGCUGGGCCGUACCUGACACUGAUGCGCGACAGCAUGGGGAGCAAACAGG
rnacentral:rRNA from 1 species